UGUCUGGCCCAGGGAACAUAAGCAAACUGUUUGCACCUGUGCUCUCUAGGUGAUCAGAAGGUGUAGACCCAGGGUGGCCUGGGUUCGUAUAAGGGCCAACUACUGAAAAGAAGGCUCUUUUUGCACCUAGGCUGCUUCCUGUGAGGGAGUGUUGUAUAGCUAUAGAACCCCUUCACCAGCUGGCUCUCUUCUGGAGAGAAUCAAGUGAAAAUGGUUCUGCAGAAGUGACAGACAUGGCUAUAAGACUGAAUGUUGUAAUCAGUGAGAAUGAAGCUGAUCAACUGAAGUGAGUUCACCAGACGGCCAUUGAAAUGACUGGGGCACUUUCCUGUGAGGAGAGACUGCACUGCUUUUUUGGACAUCCGAUAGCAACUCCCCAGUACUUGAGGAAAUCGCAGAGAAGAGAAAACCAGGCUGUUGACAACAGGGCAUGGCAAGAGGAGUGUAGGCCUCAGGCACAGACUAAAAUGAGAAAAGUUCAGGCUGAACAAAAGGGAAAACUUUUCCCCAUGAGGACAGUGAGGCUGCCCAGA